AUUGAACGCUGGCGGCAGGCUUAACACAUGCAAGUCGAGCGAGCGGCGGACGGGUGAGUAAUGUCUGGGAAACUGCCUGAUGGAGGGGGAUAACUACUGGAAACGGUAGCUAAUACCGCAUACCAUCAGAUGUGCCCAGAUGGGAUUAGCUAGUGGGUGGGGUAAUGGCUCACCUAGGCGACGACCCCUAGCUGGUCUGAGAGGAUGACAGGCAAAACGGGACCGGAGCAACGGUCCAGAUUCUUACGGGAGGAAGAAGGGGGGAAUAUUGCACAAGGGGCGCAAGCCGGAUGCAGCAAGGCCGCGUGGGUGAAGAAGGCCUUGGGGUUGUAAAGCACUUUCAGCGAGGAGGCGUUACUCGCAGAAGAAGCACCGGCUAACUCCGUGCCAGCCGCCGCGGUAAUAC
rnacentral:rRNA from 1 species